rnacentral:lncRNA from 1 species
CAACAAAAGCACAUGCAGGCUGCAUUCCUUGGAUUCCUGUACAGAAGCGUGCAUCACCUUCCCACCUCUCCCAUAAAUGAAGUGUGGUGGCAGAGUGUUUAAAGUAAGACCCAGAGGGCCUAAGUUGGAGGUUCCAGGCAGCUGAGGACUCCAGCUGAAGCUCUGGAGAUGACCUGGUGGCAUGUAGGUGUCUGGUUGUUUGGACUGGGAGUCAAAGGGAUGGGGAGGGGUGUGGGCUGAGCAUGUCAUAAAUCGUGCCAGCCUUAGGAGGACCCUUGAUCUUUAACACACAGAUCCUCUCUGGCUG